rnacentral:lncRNA from 1 species
GGACCUUGAUUUGGGUAAGAGUUUGGGUUGGGUCUUUGUUGAAAAUUUGGUUGAGGAGUUGGAAAAGAAUUUGGCCCUUGAUUCAUUUGAAAAUUGGGUUGAGGAACUUGACAAUUUUGACCUUGGGUCCGUGAGAAAUUUGGGUGAUUUCUCCACCCGGGAUUAUAAGUGGGUGCAAACGCAUCAUUCCUAGGAUUUUGAAACAUCGCAUUUACUUGUUCAAGUUCGUGCGAAGGUUGGGUUGCGGGAUUUUGAAAAUUGUAAC